UGAUCCAGGAGCCUCGCGUCCUGCACUUCAAAGACAGUUACCACAACCUACGUCUCUCCAUCCACGACGUGCCCAGCUCCCUGUGGAAGAGCAAGCUACUUGUCAGCUACCAGGAGAUCCCUUUUUACCACAUCUGGAACGGCACCCAGCAGUAUCUGCACUGCACCUUCACCCUGGAGCGCAUCAACGCCAGCACCAGCGACCUGGCCUGCAAGGUGUGGGUGUGGCAGGUGGAGGGAGAUGGGCAGAGCUUCAACAUCAACUUCAACAUCACUAAGGUGGGCAAAAUGGUGCUGGGCCCCCAGUACCGACCAUCCCAGAAAAGCUCUACCUCUGGGCGUAGCGACCAGCCCUACUCGCCCUGCCCCUUGUAGCUUCUUCCAAGUGUCUGGGGACAGAGGUGCAAAUGCAAUAUGGGGAGUGGGAGGAGGUAGAGUUGUCCUAAGGCUCUGGAGCACUUCCCCAGUAAUGGACUUUGCACUGGGCCCUAAUGGAUAAGCAGGAGCAAGAAUCUGACAGAGAGGGUGGGAGAAGGCAUUUGGGGCAGCAGGCACUGAGGUGAGAACGGUGAACGUGGAUGGUCAGCAGAGCAGGAAGACUGUCUCUGUCGCCGACUGUGGCCAGGUCACUACACCUCUGAGAUCCAAUGAGCAGGGCCCUGGUGCACAAGGGAGUGGACACCCAGCGCUCCUGCCGCCCCCAUCGUCUGGAAACUCCCCC
rnacentral:lncRNA from 1 species